CUCGCGUGCUGUCGCUGAUCCCACCUCUAAUUUUGACGUGGAGAUGCUGAUCCGACGGUCUGCGCCAGCACUGAAAGCAUAUGUAAAUACAGGAGCAAACUGAAAGUUAAGACGACUUGUGAAGCUGUCUGCAUGCCAACUUGCAUCAGUCAGAGUAUAUUAAGCUUCCUGCUGGUGUCGGGACUUUAAGAUGGCAAAGUUAUCAGUGAAUUAGUGGGUCAGUCCGUUCAUCCAGCUCUGUUCCAGACCACAACAAGACACAAGAGACCAAUUACUGCACAGCCCGUGGUGUCCCAUGAUGUCCAGGGAGAUUAAGGCUUCAAUCAGCCAUCAGCGAGGUUUACUCCACCGCCAUCAGCAGCAUCUAGACUCCAGGAGUUCCUGCCAUAUCUUCUAUCUUCCCAUCAGCAAUCAAUCACCAAAGACUUCCUCUGUUGCUCGCCACAAUAAACAUUGUUCAACACUUCCAAA